CCAAUAGCGUAUAUUAAAGUUGUUGCAGUUAAAAAGCUCGUAGUUGAAUUUCGGGAUCAAUAUGUCGGUCGUGCCUCGGUACGUACUGGUGUCAUUGGUUUCUCCCUUCUGAAGAACCUUGAUGUCAUUAAUUUGGUGUCUUGGGGAAUCAGGACUGUUACUUUGAAAAAAUUAGAGUGUUUAAAGCAGGCUCGCGCUUGAAUACAUUAGCAUGGAAUAAUGAAAUAGGACGUUUGAUUCUAUUUUGUUGGUUUCUAGGAUCGACGUAGUGAUUAAUAGGGAUAGUUGGGGGCAUUAGUAUUCAAUUGUCAGAGGUGAAAUUCUUGGAUUUAUUGAAGACUAACUACUGCGAAAGCAUUUGCCAAGGAUGUGUUCAUUAAUCAAGAACGAAAGUUAGGGGAUCGAAGACGAUCAGAUACCGUCGUAGUCUUAACCAUAAACUAUGCCGACUAGGGAUCGGAUGAUGUUGAUUUUUUAAUGACUCAUUCGGCGCCUUACG
rnacentral:rRNA from 1 species